rnacentral:lncRNA from 1 species
GUCAUUUCUAGGGGGGAUGGGAAGAGAGAAAAGGAGGUGGAAGUGGCCAAAAGCCACUGAGCACAACCCCUUUCUGCCCCUUGUCCCUGUUGGCAGGAUUUCCAGAGCUCCUUUGAAUGCCGUCUUUGCUAGCAGUCCUCCGAGAAAAUGGCUAGUCUGAACAGGUUUUAUUUAUGAACUUAGGACCUAAAUUGCUGCACGCAAGUAAUCCAGAAAGGUGAACCCAAUAGGAGCUUGCCCUCCAAAGGAAUGACCACAAGAGACCAGUGAAACUAACAAGAAUGGUUUUCAUGCCAACAUAAUGGAGAAUGGAUAAGGAUGCAUGAAAGAAAAUACAAGAAAUUAGUUGUGGAAGGAAUCCAGCCUUUGGUCCUGUCUUAAAAGAUCUGACUAGUAAGUGGAAGUGAAAAUGUUAGGGAAGCUGUUAAGUCGUAAGGGCAAGCAAUGGGAAAAUGACCGAAAAAGUUGGGGAAGCAGCGAUCAUGUCGUAUAUUUUUUGAGGCCCCAUCCUCCUAUGAAACAUCUAACAAAUUUCUGGC